rnacentral:rRNA from 1 species
UAGAGGAAGUAAAAAGUCGUAACAAGGUUUCCGUAAGGGAAGGUUUGCCUAUGAAACUCCCGCAGCGACUCUAAAGAACUGCAGUUAGUCUGCUCAAUCACUCAGCAGGCAACGCUAUUAAUCUGCGCUGGGAGCGCCUCCCACACGGAGGCCCACCAGCAGCCCUAUGAAAUCUUCUAGGGUUCACAGAUCAAAUAAUGGCGGCCGCAAUUCGUGGUUUAGAUAUGAUCGGCCCCAUCCGCUUCGCGGCUGGCGAAUUUGUGGAACCUGCGGAAGGAUCAUUA